GUGCCAGGCUAGAUGCUGAAAGAUUUCUGUAGGGAUGUAUGUCUUUGUGUCUGCAGAGGCAGGUGAAUUUGUAAGAAAGUUUUUGUCCAGGCUGAAGAGAAGGCUCAGCGUAGCUGCUCUUCCUCAGGACCCAGGUUUAAUUCCCCGCAUCCAUACGACAGCCAGUUCCAGGUGGAUCUAUCGCCCUCUUCUGUCCUUUAUGGGCCCGACACACGUGGCACACAGCCGUUUUUGAAGGGGAACCUCCCCCCCCCGCCCCCCCCCCACACAAGUACAUUACUGACUGUUCUAGUUGCCAGAUGACUUUCGCAAGCCUUUCCUGCUUCCUUCACCUGGGAGAUUUCACUCAGCUGGGUGGGUGGUCACCAGCGGACAGGGACAAAGGCACAGCACCACUCCACCCCCUACAGCAGCCUGAAGAGAUCUCUUCCCCUUACAAGUCCACUCAGACCCGCCUAAUGUCUGGAGCUUCAGUGCUGCAGCUUUACAGCCUUUGCAUGACUUUGGCCACAAGAGCUUCUGGCACACCGGGAGCUAUUGGAUCACUGUGCCCUGCAAACAGUACACAAAAAGGACUAAAAUGGUAGGGGGCGUGGUGUUUUCCUUUAGACAAACAUAUGAAUUAGAAUAGGGAUCUUGGCAUGAGGAAAUACUUUACCCCAAAAACCAACUUUG
rnacentral:lncRNA from 1 species